AGUGAACGCUGGCGGUAGGCCUAACACAUGCAAGUCGAACGGCAGCACAGUAAGAGCUUGCUCUUACGGGUGGCGAGUGGCGGACGUGUGAGGAAUACAUCGGAAUCUACUUUUUCGUGGGGGAUAACGUAGGGAAACUUACGCUAAUACCGCAUACGACCUACGGGUGAAAGCAGGGGAUCUUCGGACCUUGCGCGAUUGAAUGAGCCGAUGUCGGAUUAGCUAGUUGGCGGGGUAAAGGCCCACCAAGGCGACGAUCCGUAGCUGGUCUGAGAGGAUGAUCAGCCACACUGGAACUGAGCCACGGUCCAGACUCCUACGGGAGGCAGCAGUGGGGAAUAUUGGACAGUGGGCGCAAGCCUGAUCCAGCCAUCCCGCGUGGGUGAAGAAGGCCUUCGGGUUGUAAAGCCCUUUUGUUGGGAAAGAAACGCAGCAGGUUAAUACCCCGCUGUUCUGACGGUACCCAAAGAAUAAGCACCGGCUAACUUCGUG
rnacentral:rRNA from 1 species